rnacentral:rRNA from 1 species
UACGUAGGGUGCAAGUGUUAUCCGGAAUUAUUGGGCGUAAAGAGCUCGUAGGCGGUUUGUCGCGUCUGCUGUGAAAACUGGGGGCUCAACCCCCAGCCUGCAGUGGGUACGGGCAGACUAGAGUGCGGUAGGGGGAGACUGGAAUUCCUGGUGUAGCGGUGAAAUGCGCAGAUAUCAGGAGGAACACCGGUGGCGAAGGCGGGGUCUCUGGGGCCGUAACUGACGCUGGAGGAGCGAAAAGCGUGGGGAGCGAACAGG